GGAAGAGUAAGUAAACCAGCACGGCACACACUCGAUUGAAGCGAUUGAACAGAUUCCGCAGAGCGGUCGAUUGACGAUAGAGAAAGGGGAUUCCCCGUCCACUGAUGAAAGGUACCCUGACGAUAGGUCCGAUAUGCCAGAGUCCGAUGAAAGGUCCGAUCCAGAGUCCGAUAGAUCCUCUGACACAUAUGAAGAUAUCUCCCCCAAUCAACAUUUUGAACCGCUACGCUACGUUUUAUUAAAUAGAAACCUCGCUUCUGUCGUUCCAUCUAUGAUUUCUCAUUGAAGUCAGUAUCGACGCUUGACGCUACGAAUUGGAUAGGAUUUUAGAAUUCCCUUUG
rnacentral:misc_RNA from 1 species